UACGGAGGGGGCUAGCGUUGUUCGGAAUUACUGGGCGUAAAGCGCGCGUAGGCGGACCUGCAAGUCGGGGGUGAAAGCCCGAGGCUCAACCUCGGAACUGCCUUCGAUACUGCGGGUCUCGAGUCCGGGAGAGGUGAGUGGAAUUCCUAGUGUAGAGGUGAAAUUCGUAGAUAUUAGGAAGAACACCAGUGGCGAAGGCGGCUCAGCUGGCCCGGUACUGACGCUGAGGCGACGAAAGCGUGGGGAGCGAAUCCGG
rnacentral:rRNA from 1 species